rnacentral:rRNA from 1 species
UUCUACAGCCAGAUCACCCUGCAGCCCAAGAGCGCUCACUCACUGAAGCUAAGCAGGGCUGAGCCUGGUCAGUGUCUGGAUGGGAGACCACAUGAGAAAGCUAGGCUGCUGUUGGCA